rnacentral:misc_RNA from 1 species
GAAAUGCGAUAAGUAAUGUGAAUUGCAGAAUUCAGUGAAUCAUCGAAUCUUUGAACGCACCUUGCGCCCUUUGGCUAUUCCGAAGGGCAUGCCUGUUUGAGUAUCAUGAACACCUCAACUCUCAUGGUUUGCCAUGAUGAGCUUGGACUUUGGAGGUCUUGCCGGCCUGUGGUCGGCUCCUCUCAAAUGGAUCAGCUUGCCAGUGUUUGGUGGCAUCCCAGGUGUGAUAACUAUCUACGCUUGUGGUUUUCCACCAGAUAACCUUCAGUGAUGGAGGUUCGCUGGAGCUCAUAAAUGUCUCUCCUCAGCGAAGACAGCUCUGUGAACGUUUGAUCUCAAAUCAGGUAGGACUACCCGCUGAACUUAA